rnacentral:rRNA from 1 species
UGGGGAAUAUUGCACAAUGGGGGAAACCCUGAUGCAGCGACGCGGCGUGAACGAGGAAGGUAUUCGUAUCGGAACGUUCUGUCCUGUGGGAAGAUAAUGACAGUACCAUAGAAGAAAGCUCCGGCUAAAUACGUGCCAGCAGCCGCGGUAAUACGUAUGGAGCGAGCGUUGUCCGGAAUUAUUGGGCGUAAAGGGUACGCAGGCGGUUUAAUAAGUCGAAUGUUAAAGAUCGGGGCUCAACCCCGCAAAGCAUUGGAAACUGAUAAACUUGAGUAGUGGAGAGGAAAGUGGAAUUCCUAGUGUAGUGGUGAAAUACGUAGAUAUUAGGAGGAAUACCAGUAGCGAAGGCGACUUUCUGGACACAAACUGACGCUGAGGUACGAAAGCGUGGGGAGCAAACAGG